rnacentral:rRNA from 1 species
GACGAACGCUGGCGGCGUGCUUAACACAUGCAAGUCGAACGGAAAGGCCCUGCUUUUGUGGGGUGCUCGAGUGGCGAACGGGUGAGUAACACGUGAGUAACCUGCCCUUGACUUUGGGAUAACUUCAGGAAACUGGGGCUAAUACCGGAUAGGAGCUCCUGCUGCAUGGUGGGGGUUGGAAAGUUUCGGCGGUUGGGGAUGGACUCGCGGCUUAUCAGCUUGUUGGUGGGGUAGUGGCUUACCAAGGCUUUGACGGGUAGCCGGCCUGAGAGGGUGACCGGCGACGUGGGGACUUGGGUAAGGCCCAAGCCAGUACGGGAGGCCGCGGGGGUGAGGGUUGGCCCGGGGGGGGGAGCCUGAGUCGGCACCCCCGGUGGCGGGAUGAGGGCCUUUGGGUUGGAAACCGGUUUCGCCUGGACCGAAGCGUCAGUGGAGGUAAUGGGUAAAGGAGCACCGGAGAACUACGU